GUCCCGCCAAUCAGAGUGAGGGUGGGGCCCCUGAUCAGAAUGUAUAUAAAAUCCUAACACUGGGCAUUUGACAUCAGUCCGUGGACUUGCCUAGAAAGCAGCAUAUAAGCACCUCCUUCUCCCUCAAUUUACUCUCUGAGGUCAGAACACCAAGCAACUCUUCACCACAUCAUGAAGAUCCUGUGCCUUGUUUUGGUUGUUGCCCUUUCCAUUAAAUGCAGUUUUGCUACGGUCGCGACAUGUGAAACCUGCGACCUUGGAGUGGGCUGUGCAACACUGGCCUUUGAUAAAACCAAGCAGCCUUGUACCGCCCCUGUAAAUCUUGGAUGUUAUCGCAAGCUGAAGUCGGAUGUCCUCCUCAUAGCGGGGUGUGCCGACGAUACGAUAAAGAAAGCCGCAGGGGGAAAGAGCGGGGAAUGUGCAACCGACAAGAACGAUAUCAAAACUUGCUUUUGCGACAAAGCCAACUGCAACAGUGCCAGUCUCCUGGGGCUGAACCUCGUCGCGCUCGUCGCGACGGUGACUGCGGCGCUCUGGCUUUAGAGGAGCGAAAGGUUCGAGGGGAGGGUUUCGAAUCAGCGCUACACAACCAAGAACAACCUUUAAAAAAACCCAAACAAACAAUAAACUUCAUGAGCCUUAAAGGAAGAAUAAAUAUAUCAAUGCAUAGUCAUGCACAGUGAAAAUGGGGCUGGCAAACCCAAGUACUUCAAUGAAAACAUCCAGUUUACUAGGAAUAUAAACUCAAAGAGUUUCGUCUCAGUUCAAACUGUUGUUCUUGGUUGGCCACAAUGAGCCUGUUCGGUAUUUCAUUUCGGGGACAAAGCGUGGGCUGAUUGGACAGACUAUCGUGUGCGCGCGCACUACUAUGCCCAUGAACAGCCUCGUGCUGGGCAUGCACUGUUCAAAUACCGAACUGGCCAUUCGUUUCCCUCCCUUCGCCCGAAAUUUGAUUUCGGGUUGUCUGCUUUUGAUAUUGUACUGUUUUGUGACAUUUGAUGUUUGUAACAUUAGCGAAACCUCGUAACAUUAGCGAAAACUUUUUCCUCGUAAGGAAAUUCUUUUCCCGAAACUGGUGAAACUCACAGAUGGACUUGCUGACGCAGCUAGGCCUCCCUGUAAUGAAAGCCUAUGACAUUGUGCAGUGAUUUGCGUUCAUUACAAUAAUUACAGCUCUUCGAAUAUUCAUAAAUUCAUCCCAGUGAUGAGUGAUUUUUCACUGCGACGGAUUUGCGGAUGAGUUGGCAUCCAGAGGAAACUUUUCAAUCAUUGUGGAGUGCACAAUCGAGGUUUGAUAGCUUUGUAAAGCUAUAGAUGAGAUGCCCUGCUGCAGUUCCAUCGAAUAUUCGUUUUAUUAAUAAAUGGUAAUACACAUUAGAAGUGUCAGACGCAGCGCUGGUGAGGUUUCCAAUUGAUUUCGAAAAACACCAUAGAUAAGAAUUUACUUCUAAAAUCUUAGUCAUCUGCUCUUUGAACUUGUUUUUUUUCUUUAAACAAGUAAAUAUUAUUAACAAUUUCUAAUGGUGAUUUUAAUAUUCCCGGAAGUGAGCAUAGUUUUAUGGCAUAAAGUGAAACCCAGUGUUUUGCAGAUUGAAGAGUUGUCAAGUAAAAACUCUACAUUGUUCUUAUUCAAUAAUAGUGUUCUAAUGAACCACAACCAGCACAAGACUGAAUGAUGAUCAUUAUUUUUGGACGUGAAAAAACAUCAGCCAGUAUCUGACAAAGGACAAAAAGCCAGUACCUCGAUGAGUCAGAUUAAAUGUGAACAAACUGCGGAUUAUCAUAACACAACGAGAAAUCCUGGAGUAAUGUCCUUUAUUGACAGUGUUGUUAAUUUGUUUUGUGGUAUAAAUGCAAAGUGGAAACAUUGGCAAAAUAAAUCACCCUUACUAACACGAGAAUGAA